GAUGAACGCUGGCGGCGUGCCUAAUACAUGCAAGUCGAGCGAACAGACGAGGAGCUUGCUCCUCUGACGUUAGCGGCGGACGGGUGAGUAACACGUGGAUAACCUACCUAUAAGACUGGGAUAACUUCGGGAAACCGGAGCUAAUACCGGAUAAUAUAUUGAACCGCAUGGUUCAAUAGUGAAAGACGGUUUUGCUGUCACUUAUAGAUGGAUCCGCGCCGCAUUAGCUAGUUGGUAAGGUAACGGCUUACCAAGGCAACGAUGCGUAGCCGACCUGAGAGGGUGAUCGCCCACACUGGAACUGAGAAACGUCCCAGACUCCUACGGGAGGCAGCAGUAGGGAAUCUUCCGCAAUGGGCGAAAGCCUGACGGAGCAACGCCGCGUGAGUGAUGAAGGUCUUCGGAUCGUAAAACUCUGUUAUUAGGGAAGAACAAAUGUGUAAGUACCUAUGCACGUCUUGACGGUACCUAAUCAGAAAGCCACGGCUAACUACGUG
rnacentral:rRNA from 1 species